rnacentral:rRNA from 1 species
UAGGGAAUCUUCGGCAAUGGGGGCAACCCUGACCGAGCAACGCCGCGUGAGUGAAGAAGGUUUUCGGAUAGUAAAGCUCUGUUGUAAGAGAAGAACGUGUGUGAGAGUGGAAAGUUCACACAGUGACGGUAACUUACCAGAAAGGGACGGCUAACUACGUGCCAGCAGCCGCGGUAAUACGUAGGUCCCGAGCGUUGUCCGGAUUUAUUGGGCGUAAAGCGAGCGCAGGCGGUUUAAUAAGUCUGAAGUUAAAGGCAGUGGCUUAACCAUUGUUCGCUUUGGAAUCUGUUAAACUUGAGUGCAGAAGGGGAGAGUGGAAUUCCAUGUGUAGCGGUGAAAUGCGUAGAUAUAUGGAGGAACACCGGUGGCGAAAGCGGCUCUCUGGUCUGUAACUGACGCUGAGGCUCGAAAGCGUGGGGAGCAAACAGG